GAUGAAGAACGUAGCGAAAUGCGAUACGUAAUGUGAAUUGCAGAAUUCAGUGAAUCAUCGAGUCUUUGAACGCACAUUGCGCCCCCUGGUAUUCCGGGGGGCAUGCCUGUCCGAGCGUCAUUGCUGCCCUCAAGCACGGCUUGUGUGUUGGGCCUCCGUCCUCCUCCCGGGGGACGGGCCCGAAAGGCAGCGGCGGCACCGCGUCCGGUCCUCGAGCGUAUGGGGCUUCGUCACCCGCUCUUGUAGGCCCGGCCGCCGCUUGCCGACACAUCAAUCUUUUUUCCAGGUUGACCUCGGAUCAGGUAGGGAUACCCGCUGAACUUAAGCAUAUCAAUAAGCGGAGGA
rnacentral:misc_RNA from 1 species